UACGUAGGGUGCAAGCGUUAAUCGGAAUUACUGGGCGUAAAGCGUGCGCAGGCGGUGAUGUAAGACAGUUGUGAAAUCCCCGGGCUCAACCUGGGAACUGCAUCUGUGACUGCAUUGCUGGAGUGCGGCAGAGGGGGAUGGAAUUCCGCGUGUAGCAGUGAAAUGCGUAGAUAUGCGGAGGAACACCGAUGGCGAAGGCAAUACCCUGGGCCUGCACUGACGCUGACACGCGAAAGCUAGGGGAGCGAACGGG
rnacentral:rRNA from 1 species